rnacentral:lncRNA from 1 species
AUGUCUUCUGGGCCGUAAUAAACGAUUAACCUCUAAGCUCAGAACAAACAGAAUGUGUAUUGAACCCAGCUCCUAGUCUUUUACCAUGCAAAUUUUCUGUAGUAAGAGUAAUUCAUUUUCAUAUGAAGUAUUUUGUCAGAAUCCUUUGAACUGACUCAAGUUUGCUUAAUCUACACAGGGGGAGAAACAGUCAGUUGGUCUGGGACCUCUUGGCGUCCUUGAUACGAUGUGGCUUAUAACAUUGGAGCAGUCUUUCAGUUGUAUAUGUAUUGUGGCAGUCGUCUAUUGCCUGACAACUCCUGGUACAAGUAUUAAGGAUGGAUGCAUGGAUGAGGACAGUGAGGAUAGCCCACAAACAACUCCUCGCAGGCCAUUUAAUCAUCAUCGCUCACGGAAACUAGACAAGAAGAAAAGGCGCUAAACUAAGGAGACUGUAUUUUGCUGUAAAGCAGGAAAUGGAAAGCUUUAAGCCUCUCUUUGGAGAAAGACUGACAGGAACUUGGCUCACAGGCUUUAGCUAGGUUAGAGCUGUGACAGGAAUGUCACUGUAUGUAUUGCCUAUUAUCACAUCCUGCUUUUUAUGGCUCAUGUGAACCUACUAUGGUCCAGAAACCAACUUUUGGUAAUCCGCAAAUACUGUGGAGGCAUUAGAAUCGGAGUCUGGAAGAAAAUCGAAGAAUGUGUAUCUUAGUAGAAGGUUGUAGAAAAGACACAUAACUGUUUCCCUUCUCAACUCUCACACAGUACUGAGUAGUGUAUAAAAAGGGCGUUGGACAUCGGACGUUUUUGCAUGGAACGUACAAAUCUGCCCAAAAAUAAUUAUUUUUAAAUCCUUAUAAAACCUUGAAAUUAUAGUAAUACAUAAUGUCAGACUUCCAGUGAUACAAAAAAUUUUUUUUUUCUCCGAGGCUCCAAUGAAAGUUACUUGACAGCGGAAAAAAGAAAAAUAUUAGACAUUGGAUGUUUUCCCACGAUUGGAGAUGGGUCCCACAAAAAAUUUAUUCAGGUUCUCCUAGAAUGCAUAAAGUGAUUUUAAUAAUUACUUUAAGUAGGAUGAACCAUGUCAAAUAAAUGAAUUCGAAAUUAGAGACAGUAUAACCCAUUAAAAGGGAAAAAGGAAGACAAAUAAUGGGGUAAUAAAUUUACAGUUUCAUUCUCCAUGAGUGUCGAAGUACACUAACGGAGAUUUUAUGUAAUUCUUAUGGAUCCUACAGAAGGAAUUAAACUUUUGAAAGGGAGGAAGGAAUGUGGGUCCAAUAUUUUUGCCCUUUUGACCCUUCGCAAAUAGAAAAAUGGACAUAGAACGGUUUGGCACAGCCGAUUCAAUUAGGAUGGACAUGCAUAGCUAACUUUGUUGUCGUAAGUAUUUAUCUGCCCAUUCAGCUUGGGGUAAAAGCAGCAGUCAACAUUACUAAAACAGUAAGCCUUCAAAUCAAGAACAAGCAGCAGCAUUAUUUUAUCCAUUGCUUAUUGAUUUGCUGUACAACCUCCAUCAAAUACUAGUUUUGCUCAUAAUGGUCAUCAAGAAUAGAACGAUCAUGCAGGAGAACAAUUGGACUGCGUUUAACAGAAAGGACCAAGCCACAUCAGCUAUUGCCAAAUUUAAUUGGGCAAUUUAAUUUUCUACUUGAAAACGGUUGUACUGAUUUUCGUGCAAAUUUCAGUAAAUUUUCUCCAUAUUACGUAGCAAAUUCCUUGAAAUUUUCAAAGGUAUCCGCACAAAUGCUCUCUCAUAAACAAUUAAAUUGAUCAGUUACAUUUGACAAUAGCUGAAGUGGCUUGGUUCCCUUCUGUUAACGCGGUCCAAUUCAGGCUUUUUCAAGAUCCCUGAAUUAAAAAAUUCAUUUAAAUAAAAGAAAUGAUAUUUUAUAUUUGAAUAAUUUUAGCAUUAAUGCAGAUUUUUCAGAAAAUAUUUGUCUUUAUUAGAUGGCUGAAUUAUAUUUGCAGAUGUGAUUGAUUUGUCGCAGGCUAUCAUCCCUAAUGAACCUAGUUUUUUAGCUGAAGCAGUUCAAAAUUUUGAUGGUUUGAAUCCACUUCUGAUGUUGAUUUUUCUUCCAGCUCAAAUUCUGGGUUUUUUAAUGGCAAAGAGGCAGUCAAAAGUCUGGAGUAACGUCCAAUUAAGAAUAUGAUGUGGAAAAAGUUGGUUUCCAAGUUUUCAUUUCACAUUUUUCCCUUAAUUUAUCUCAUGUUCUAAAAAGAAAUGUUGAAUGAACACUCAAGUUUGCUGACAUUGGUUUUUUAAUGAAUUGCUGAGCUCAAAUAGUUCAUUUUUUCAAGCUGCAUUCUACAGUAAGACCUCGAAUUAUCGGAUCGCGAUCUAACGGAUUCCGCGAUUUAACGGAUCGAUCCUCCGGUCCCUUCAGCGGGACUGACUAGCGCGGUUUAGCGGAUUCCGCGAUUUAAACGGAUUCGGCCUCCGGUCCCGUGAAAUCCGAUAAAUCGAGGUCUUACUGUAUAUCCAAGUGUAACCAUGAAACAAGUCUCUUGACGAUUUUCGCGACUCACUUCCAUUUUUUUUUUUUUCCGAAGGAGAACAAACUAUCUCUAUUGCUUGAAUUUUCAUAGAAUAUUGUUUGCAUAAAAAAGGAAAGUACUGUUCAUAGUAUUUUUUUUUUUUUUUUCAGUUUCUACUCAAUUACUUGUCAUGAUUGUCCAAUGAAUAUAUUCCUUCCAUUAUUCUAGUCUAAGGGUCAGUUUUAUCACCUCUGAUCAAAUCUACACGAUACGUAACUAGGGUCCAGCGUUUAUCCUCAUUUACCUUCUGGUUAAUUU